CCUGGCUGCGGAGCGUGGGCGGCGUUAUCUCUCCUGGGCUGGCAGUGCACGCUCCCCGGCCCAGGACUUCACGUUUCUGGGGGAUAGGAAUGGGAGGGAGGCCCUCAGGCCCGGAGUCCCGGCACUGAGUAGAACUGGAGCUCCCUCUACCCAUUGAGGCCGAGCGCACGUGUAGAAGCCCAGCCCGCUGCGUCCCUGCUUGCCUAAAAACGCUCGUCUUGUCUUUCCUGGGUAGCCCAUCGCCUCCCUUUCCCCACUAGUGACGGGUUCGGGGUGCUGGGGCCCGCCAGCUCCGCCUCGACUUGGAGGUGAGCGAUGGGCAGGAGCAAAGGAGGAAACAAGUUGUUACAAAGCGAGCUAGCUCACGCCCUCGGCAGGGCUCCCCACCCCCUCUCCAGGUCUCCUGGGCGCUCUCCAUACCGCGCGCCCGAGCUCCAGGCUGGGUGGAGCAGGUUCCGGGUUCCUGCGGCGCCGGGGAUUCGCCCUGCUGGAGGCGCCUUCCCAGCUUUUGGAGAACUUUUCCGGCGAGUCACCCAGUGGCCCUUCUGUGCCCGGAGUUCCGGGGCCCUGGCUCCCGGAGCGUGAACCCGGUCCCCGCGAAGACUGACGCCUCUCACCUGCGCCUCUGUCCCUGUCUGGAAGUUUGUCCUGGAACCGCACGGCCUGGCGCCAGAACUAGAGGGCUGCCUCGUCUCAGCCACACCGCCAAAAACCGGAGGAAGUAUGACCCACCUCAGAGCCCGUCGCUAGGGGUCGCUCCUACGUGCUGGUGUGGGCCGCUGCUGGACUGCCCUACGGUCUCCAGAAGAAGGAGCACAGAGCUGUCACCCAGCAGGGUCACAGAAGUCCCUGAGACUGGAGAUGGGGACCUCAACUCACCCCUCCUGCAGGGUAGGUUGUAGGUUCUCCGGAUCCUAUGACAGAAAGGGAAUUUCCCACCAAUUCUGCAUGCUUCUCUGUGGUAAUCUGACCAUCUACACUGAAGACAACAAUUUGCAGCAUAACUACCACUAUUGAACUAUCAUCUUGUUUUUGGAAACUGUACUGUUUCUAAUUUUUUUUUAUUACUUUUUAUUCUGUUUAAAAUUUAAAAAAAAAUUUCAAGGUGCACCAACAAAAAGCACAGGAAAAGUUUAUUAGGCAAAAUUAAAGAUGUGACCCUUCAGAGAGAAUAGAAUUGCUGAUGGUCAGAGGAGAGCCUCAUGCCAUCUGGGGUGAGGGCUUAGGUGGCCUUCGGGGGUCUUAAGACGUCUAGGAUGUGCAUCCUUGUGUCUGUUCAGUGGGUGGGACAGAAGACAAGUUGUGUGGGUCACCUGAAGUCUAGAGCUGUGUUGUUUCCUCCUAUCCAGAUCUGCAGGAGGGAAAACACAGGUUUGCUUAAUAGGUGACAGUCACCUGCUCCAUGUACAGGCUUAGGAGUUGUUUUCCCCUCUGGGAUGAGUUUCAUGGAAGGAAUAAAAGCACGGGAUCUUAGGUAAGUGUGUGUGGAAGCUGCAGUUUUUCUUUUUUGU